AAAGGAAAAGAUAUUAGAAGGGAAAAGAAUUUUACAGCGCUCCCGAAUUCUUAAUUCCACCUCUCUCGAUGAAAACACUACGACCAGAAAACCUCAUCAAGUUGACCAAAAAAAAAAGGGUCUCUCCUCUCAACCUGCUAUUCCAUCUCUCUCGCAGCGGAAGUGAGAUUCGUUCAAGAACGAGUAAAGCCAGCAGCUGUGAUUUGUAAAGUGGAAGAUUGGAUGUGUUGAUGUGUGGCAUGCUCUAAUUAGGUAUAUUUUUGUGUAGUAAGAAAGCCAUAGAGAGAGAGAGAGUCGCGUUUUUUUUUUUUUUUUUUUUUUUUUUCGGAUUAGGUUGAUGUUUCAGUCGUAAACUUGAUUAAGCAAUGAAAGUUGAGGACAUACAAGUGACACAUGUAAUUGGGAAUUUGUAAGUUACAUGCAAAGCUCAUGGAAAGUAAGCUUUUGUAAUGUGUCUCUAAUGUCUACUCUACAACGAUUGUCUUCGAACACUGUUGUCACAUUUUUGGGGAGAAAUUUCAAAGUAAGGUGUUAAUGUCUGAUGUAAGACUA